rnacentral:rRNA from 1 species
ACGAACGCUGGCGGCGUGCUUAACACAUGCAAGUCGAACGGAAAGGCCCUGCUUUUGUGGGGUGCUCGAGUGGCGAACGGGUGAGUAACACGUGAGUAACCUGCCCUUGACUUUGGGAUAACUUCAGGAAACUGGGGCUAAUACCGGAUAGGAGCUCCUGCUGCAUGGUGGGGGUUGGAAAGUUUCGGCGGUGGGGGUUGGCCCCGGGGCUUAUCAGCUUGUUGGGGGGGUAGUGGCUUACCAAGGCUUUGACGGGUGGCCGGCCUGAGAGGGUGACCGGCCACAUUGGGACUGAGAUACGGCCCAGACUCCUACGGGAGGCAGCAGUGGGGAAUAUUGCACAAUGGGCGGAAGCCUGAUGCAGCAACGCCGCGUGCGGGAUGACGGCCUUCGGGUUGUAAACCGCUUUCGCCUGUGACGAAGCGUGAGUGACGGUAAUGGGUAAAGAAGCACCGGCUAACUACGUG